CGGCAUCCCACAUAAAACAGAGGAAGAUGGCACAGGUGUUAGCUCAAUGUCAAGCUUCCUCAAGCAAAAAGAGGAAGAUUGGCAACAAUGUUAGCUCAGGGCCAAUCUUCCUCACACACACACACAAAAUAUCUGACAGAGGGGCCAGUCCCCAUGGCCUAGUGAUUAAAUUUGGUGGGCUCCACUUUGGCAGCUAGGGUUCCAUUCCUGGGCGCAGACAUACACCACUCGCCUGUCAGUGGCUAUGCUGUGCUGGCAGCUCAAAUACAAAUAGAGGAAGAUUGGCAAUGGAUGUUAGCUCAGGCGAAACUUCCUCAGCAAAAACAAUUAUAAAUAUAUAUAUCUGACAGAGGCCUUUUUUAUAUGGAAAGAGUUACUUACAGUUGCUUGGUUUUCAUUAAUAUUCAAUUUAAUAAAGUUGAAAGUUUAAAAUAUAGCUUUCUCUUAAGCCUUUAAGCUCAAUGUACUAAUCGGGUUAAUUUAUUCAUAAAUUAGUAAUUAGUAAUUUUGUAUAAAAAUAACAUUGCUUUCACUUAUUCUUUAAUUCAUAUUCAGUUAAGUUUAACCGAUAAUAUUUCCUUAAACAUUUAACCCCAUUUAACUAUUAUGGUUCAUUAAAUCCCCUUAAACGUUUUAAAUUAUAAUCCCAAACUUAAUAUAUUUGAUUCUCUCAAGGGUGUCAGACAUCCAACAAGGCUGAUGACUGAUAAGAUAAACAAACCUUGUCUCGCGUGGAAACUCCAGUUACAAUCUGAAGGCAUCUGGGAACACCUAAAAACACGUCAACCUUCCAGGGAGUCAAACACUAUUUUCCAAAUUAAAUAAAUCUUCAUGCAUGUUUUAAAGUAAAAUGAUGUCUAGUAAUAAAUGUUUCAAAUUAAAAUAAUAUGAUUAGUAUGUCAUAUUUUCUUCAAUGUUUAGAACACCUUAAAUAACAAUUACAUAUAAUUUUUCAUGAUAGUUAUAAAACAUCCUUAAACGUCACAUGGAAGUAUUAAUCCUGUGAGUUUCGCUUGCUUUACCACCUCUGUGCUUUAUUACGAACCUCCCUGAGUGGGAAAGUCACUUCUGGACGCG
rnacentral:lncRNA from 1 species